GGAUAUUGCGCAAUGGGGGCAACCCUGACGCAGCAACGCCGCGUGAAGUAUGAAGGUUUUCGGAUUGUAAACUUCUUUUAUCAGGGAAGAACUCUGACGGUACCUGAUGAAUAAGCUCCGGCUAACUACGUGCCAGCCGCCGAGGUAAUACGUAGGGAGCAAGCGUUGUACCGUUUUACUGGGUGUAAAGGGUUCGUAGGCGGCUUUUUAAGUCAGAUGUGAAAUCUAUGGGCUCAACCCAUAAACUGCAUUUGAAACUAGAGAGCUUGAGUGAAGUAGAGGCAGGCGGAAUUCCCUGUGUAGCGGUGAAAUGCGUAGAGAUAGGGGGGAACACCAGUGGCGAAGGCGGCCUGCUGGGCUUUAACUGACGCUGAGGCACGAAAGCGUGGGUAGCAAACA
rnacentral:rRNA from 1 species